UUCGUAGGUGAACCUGCGGAAGGAUCAUUAAUUGAAUGACCAUGUUUCUCAGCAUGAUAUUUCAAACCCCACGUGUCUAUCUUACCUGUUGCUUCCGUGCUGCACAUGCUGCCAAGGUGUGCCUUCCGGUCCCUGGGGGUAUUCAGGUACCCUCCAUGGCCCUGGGGAGGAGCCGGCACGGGAGGUUAACCCACAAACUCUUGCCUUUGAAUGCCUUUCGUCUGAACUGUAGUACAUGAAAAGUUAAAACUUUCAACAACGGAUCUCUUGGUUCUCGCAUCGAUGAAGAACGCAGCGAAAUGCGAUAAGUAAUGUGAAUUGCAGAAUUCAGUGAAUCAUCGAAUCUUUGAACGCACAUUGCGCCCGCUAGUAUUCUGGCGGGCAUGCCUGUCCGAGCGUCAUUUCAACCCUCAAGCCCCCGGGCUUGGUGUUGGGGAUCGGCGAGCCUCCGCGCCCGCCGUCCCCUAAAUCUAGUGGCGGUCUCGCUGUAGCUUCCUCUGCGUAGUAGCACACCUCGCACUGGGAAACAGCGCGGCCACGCCGUUAAACCCCCAACUUCUGAACGUUUGACCUCGGAUCAGGUAGGAAUACCCGCUGAACUUAAGCAUAUCAAUAAGCGGAGA
rnacentral:rRNA from 1 species